rnacentral:rRNA from 1 species
UACCUUCGGGGGUAGAGCACUGGAUGGGCUAGGGGGCCGCGAGGCUUACCAAACCUAACCAAACUCCGAAUACCGAAGAGUAGAGCUCGGCAGACAGACCACGGGUGCUAAGGUCCGUGGUCGAGAGGGAAACAGCCCAGACCGCCAGCUAAGGUCCCUAAGUUAUGGCUAAGUGGGAAAGGAUGUAGGAAGGCCAAGACAACCAGGAGGUUGGCUUAGAAGCAGCCACC